CCCCCGGCGCGGCAGGGCCGCCUCAGACCAUCGCCGACCUCCCCUCCGCCGCCCGCCCCGCCGCGCACCGGGGCGGCCCUGCGCGGCGGCCGCCGUUUGUACACGUGCUUUUCCGAAGCGCCGAAGCCGGCUGGACGGAGGUCGAGCCUGAGAGUGGGAAACGCAGAAAUCUGCACCCUGAGCCAAAUUGCUCAAAGAAGAGCAAGUUCGGUUAUUAUUCAUCUCCACCAGGGAAGUCUUAUCUUCUACAAAUAUUUGAUACUGGGACAAGUCCAAUAAUUAACAAGAACAAUCAAACAAUUUCACUGCCUUCUUGGGGAUUUAAAAAGUCAUCAUCUGGAAUUCAUGAACAUUACAACUUUUUUUUUUUCCUGUGCUUGGAUAUGUUACUGUAUAUGAUCUUUUCUUUGCGUGUGUGUGUCCCUAAGUGAUUUUACCCUUUCAUGCAAAAAGAUGCAAACCAUUAACAGCGCAGAUAAUAUUCAAAACUGCUGAUUCAGUGAGACUUCAGACCUCUCCGUAGGAGUGGUGAGAGAGGGUGGUAACUGAUG